rnacentral:misc_RNA from 1 species
AAACUGCGAUAAGUAGUGUGAAUUGCAUUUAGUGAAUCAUCGAAUCUUUGAACGCACCCUGCACUCACUGGUAUUCCGGUGAGUACGCCUGUUUCAGUAUCAUUGAAAACACACAAUCAAAACAUUUUCUUUGGUUUGAUUGGCUUUGGGUCUAUCAAAAAGUUUGGCUUGUUUCUUACAAGCCAAGCGGCCUGAAAUAUAUUGUCUGGCUAAUUGCAUCGUUGAUGAUCGCUAUUAGACUUUGGCUUUUUUAAAUGAACUGGAGGUUGAUUAACCAGUUUUAGCUUUAGUCAAAUGGUCAUUGUAAAAAAAAUCUCGAUCUUGACUAGGUGUUUAUAGCCGAAAAUUUUUUUUUGGCUAUAACCGAAACCAAUAUAAUCACAUUUAGUUAUCGAUCUGAAAUCAGGUGGGACUACCCGCUGAACUUAAGC